UCGGGAAUAUUGCGCAAUGGAGGAAACUCUGACGCAGUGACGCCGCGUGCAGGAAGAAGGUUUUCGGAUUGUAAACUGCUUUAGACAGGGAAGAUACAAGACAGUACCUGUAGAAUAAGCUCCGGCUAACUACGUGCCAGCAGCCGCGGUAAUACGUAGGGAGCAAGCGUUAUCCGGAUUUAUUGGGUGUAAAGGGUGCGUAGACGGGAAAACAAGUUAGUUGUGAAAUCCCUCGGCUUAACUGAGGAACUGCAACUAAAACUAUUUUUCUUGAGUGCUGGAGAGGAAAGUGGAAUUCCUAGUGUAGCGGUGAAAUGCGUAGAUAUUAGGAGGAACACCAGUGGCGAAGGCGACUUUCUGGACAGUAACUGACGUUGAGGCACGAAAGUGUGGGGAGCAAACAGG
rnacentral:rRNA from 1 species